GGAAAAGUCUCAGAGAAAGGUUGGGAGGUUGUGGAGUAUUAUUCGAUUGGCUUAUGAGAUGGCUGGACAACAGUCUCCUGAGAGGAUUUCGGCUCUCCUUGAGCUUUAUUGAAAUAAAAGAAGUUGUACAAAACGAAGAGAG